rnacentral:rRNA from 1 species
UUUGGUGAUUAUGGCGGCAGGGAUACACCCGGUUACAUUCCGAACCCGGAAGUUAAGUCUGCCAGCGCCCAAGAUACUUGGACUUGGUUCAGGGAAAAUAGGUCGUCGCCAAAC